UAGUAGCUAAUUUUGUCCUUGUAGGAAAGGAGGUACACAAGUUCCAUAUGAGUUGUAGCACCUUGGAUGUAGGUAGAAAGAUAAGUCUAUGGCCUCAAGGCCUCUUUAGGCAACUCACAUAUACUACAUGUUACCUUUGAUGAGGCUCGAAUCCUUGAUCUAUAAGCAAGUUAUCCUUGAGGUAAAAUAUUUUCACUUAACUUUUUAAUUAUUCACUUCCUAUCUUUGAACUUUCAUAAUUUACUCAUAGUAAUUCGGAUUUAUAUGUUUCUUAUGUCAUUAAAAAGAUAAUAAAAUUAUCUAUCUAAAAAUAUAUUUUUAAAUAU
rnacentral:lncRNA from 1 species